rnacentral:misc_RNA from 1 species
GGGGGGGUGGUGGGGGGGCGGCGUGGGUGGGAGGGGAAGGGAAAGGAGGUUCAGAAAUCAACUUGCAUCAAGUAUUCUCAAGUGAACAGGUACCAAGGGGAUAACUAAGCAGUAUAACUCAACUUCAAUUAAUUGGUCUUAAAGUUUGAAUUCAAUGGAGUGGGUUGAAGGCUCAUGUAGAAGAGAAGAGUUGCCCCUAUUGAUGGACCAAACAAAAUCUAGAAUAAACACCUAAUCAAAUUCUAAAAUUUUGAUCUGCAUAUAAUCUAGACUUACAACCCACUACAACAGUCUAUUUGCAAGUUUAGAAAGUUCAAGAGCUAAGUUGUCAGUGCACAACCUCUAAAAGAAUCAAGAAGAACAUCCUCAUUCAGAUUAUGACCUAUGAAAACUAUUUUGUUCAUUUGAUUUUCUGAUCCUUCCCAUUUGCGAGCUGGAACAAUAUCAUAUAUCUCCCUCACAGCCUGCAAAGUAUGUAGUUCAUCAGAGUUUUGAACCCUUAAAAUCCCUUUGCAUCGGUAUACAUCCAUGCCAUCUUUCUUAUCCCAUAGAAUCUCCUCAAGCCAUAAACGAACCUUAUCAAGAUCAACCUGCUGCGAAUCACAAAUGCAAACAGUUCGCACACCACCAUCAUGAAGAUGUCUGGUAGAUAGCGACUUGCUUUCUUCCAACAAUGCUUCCAAAUGAGUAGCAUGAGUUGCAUCAUAUGCCUGACAGUUCAAUAUUUUGGACAAAUCAACUUCACACCUAACAGAAUGAAUGAUAUUGGUGAGGGAGUUAAUGUUAUGUAUCUCCUUCUCCAAUUCCUCCAAGAUCUCUGAAGAAACCAAAUCAACCUUGUUAAGAAUAACAACAUCCGCAAAUGCUAUUUGAAGAAAAGCUUCAGGAAAUGAAGAUGAGUCACGAUGCUUGUUGAGCUGAAAAGGUAGAUUUUUGGCAUCCACAACAGUGAUUAUAGAAUCAAGCUUAACAGACGAUUCCAACUGAUCAUCCAACCAAAGAACAGAAGCAAGCGGAGCGGGAUUUGCUAACCCUGUGGUCUCGAUUAUUAUAUGAUCAAGUCUACUGAAAGCAAAACAAUAAUUCACUAAAGGUUAAUUACUUCUACUAGUCUACCGCAUUUAAUCAUUAAGGAUUUUCUUGGUAAACUGUCUACUUGCUACUAAAUUGGCUACUGAGUGAUACUCUUAGAGAUAGAGGAAGAGAUCAAUUGUCCCAUUAAAGGUGCAGCUUUGAUCUUUUUGAAAGCAUGUUCUGUAUAUUUUCUAUAGCAACAAUGGUGAAGGACAUUAUGAAAACAGUGAAAAAAUCAGAAACAUCAAAAAUGCUUCCCAUUUCAACAAUAUAAUCCAGCAAGUAUCCUCUCUAAAACUAAUAUAUGUGUAAAGAUAAAAUUUACAAAAGCAGCACCUUUCCUUCAUCUGUACAAGUUGCUCCAGUGCUUGAACUAAACUAUGCUUAACUGUGCAACAAAUACACCCAUUUGCCAGCUCAACCCAUUCUUCAACAAGUGCACCACCUUCUCCUUCAUUUAUCAUGGCCCUUUCAACUCCAAUCUCUUCCCCAAACUCAUUCAAAAUGACAGCAAUCCUCUUUCCAUGUUGAGAAUUCAAGAUAUGGUUAACAAGAGUGGAUUUGCCAGCACCGAGAUAGCCCGUGAUGACGGUCACCCCAACGGAAACGUCAUCCGUUUGAGGUCGUUUUGAAUCGGAUUGCGAGUGGUAAUAAGAUUGUUGCCCAGUUUGAUCGAUUUCAACUGCGACAGGUGGAUCGUCUACUUCUUUCUCCAUUUUCAAUCACUUCCUUCUUGCCCUGACUCCAC